rnacentral:rRNA from 1 species
CUCCUUGACGUUGGCGGCGGACGGGUGAGUAACACGUGGGUAACCUACCUAUAAGACUGGGAUAACCUCGGGAAACCGGAGCUAAUACCGGAUAAUAUUCGAACCGCAUGGUUCGAUAGUGAAAGGUGGUUUUGCUAUCACUUAUAGAUGGACCCGCGCCGUAUUAGCUAGUUGGUAAGGUAACGGCUUACCAAGGCGACGAUACGUAGCCGACCUGAGAGGGUGAUCGGCCACACUGGAACUGAGACACGGUCCAGACUCCUACGGGAGGCAGCAGCC